rnacentral:rRNA from 1 species
GUGCCAGCAGCCGCGGUAAUACAGAGGUGGCAAGCGUUGUUCGGAAUUACUGGGCGUAAAGGGCGCGUAGGCGGUUCGAUAAGUCCCGUGUGAAAUCCCUCGGCUCAACUGAGGAAUGGCACGGGAAACUGACGGGCUUGAGUUCGGGAGAGGGAAGCGGAAUUCCGGGUGUAGCGGUGAAAUGCGUAGAUAUCCGGAGGAACACCGGUGGCGAAGGCGGCUUCCUGGACCGACACUGACGCUGAGGCGCGAAAGCUAGGGGAGCAAACGGGAUUAGAUACCCCGGUAGUCC